AGUGAACGCUGGCGGUAGGCCUAACACAUGCAAGUCGAACGGCAGCACAGUAAGAGCUUGCUCUUACGGGUGGCGAGUGGCGGACGGGUGAGGAAUACAUCGGAAUCUACUUUUUCGUGGGGGAUAACGUAGGGAAACUUACGCUAAUACCGCAUACGACCUACGGGUGAAAGCAGGGGAUCUUCGGACCUGGCGGGAUUGGAUGGGCCGAUGUCGGAUUAGCUGGUUGGUGGGGUAAUGGCCCACCAAGGCGCGGAUGGGUGGCCGGUUGGAGAGGAUGGACGGCCACAUUGGGACGGAGAUACGGCCCAGACUCCUACGGGGAGCAGCAGUGGGGAAUUUUGCACAAUGGGCGGAAGCCUGAUGCAGCAACGCCGCGUGCGGGAUGACGGCCUUCGGGUUGUAAACCGCUUUCGCCUGUGACGAAGCGUGAGUGACGGUAAUGGAUAAAGAAGCACCGGCUAACUACGUG
rnacentral:rRNA from 1 species